CGGAGCGCAGCCGCGUUGGGGCAAAUUUAAAGGGCAGUUUCUCAUUGUGACCCAUGCCUAUGAUUUCAGCAGGAUACAACCACAAGCAUGAAGCCCUCCUAAUCUAUAGGAUGAGUUCCAGGCCAUAAUAAGAUGUCUCACAAAACAAAAGGAAGCCAGAUCUUCUGGAUAAGGUAGGGAAGCCCCCAAAUGAAGGAGCACUUAGAGGCAAGGAAGGAGGAAAGUGAGCAGGGGAGGUGGAUCGGACGGUCACUUCAAACCAAAACCUGACGCUCCCACCCUGUUUUCGUCUAGUAGAAACCAAGAAUAUGGGCGGUUUUAUGUGUGGGAGAGAGGGGUCUGAAACAGGAUCUUACACACUGUAGCCCAUGCUGACCUGGAACUUAUUAUGUAGUCCAGGCUGGCCUCAUAUUCACAGCAAUACUGUCUCAGACUGCUGAGUGCAGAGAGCAUAGCUGAGUCAUCACGUACCUGUGUGCUGCUGUUUCAAAAGAAAGAGAUAUGAACACUUAGAAAACUGUACAUGUUAAUGACUUAGAUAAUCU
rnacentral:lncRNA from 1 species